ensembl:lncRNA
GUGGGCGCGUGCGCAGUGCGCCCCGGCUCCUGUGCGUCCCGCGUGUUGUCGCCUUCUCUCCGGUCGUGGCGUGGGGUUUCGGAGUCGUCCCCAUCCCAGCUUCAGGUCUGCUACGACCUGGGUCACGGUGCUUGUCGGGAGCGUGGAAUGAAAACGCUUACCGGGGCGGGAGACGACUAGGGGUUGACCUCAAGACCUGGUACACGGUAUACGGGAGCUCUCCUGCCAGGCUACGCUUCCACCCUGAGUUUGCGCCUCUCCUGGCCUAGGAAGCCCUCACCAGGAGGAGCCCGAAGGAACGCCCGCCCCGCUACUUGAUCAAAGGCAGAGGUCAGAAAGCUGAUGCCAGUCUUGUGGGAUCCCCAUGGACUUCCUGAUUCUGGGCAGAGAUUGAAGCCAAAAGAAGUGAAGAUGUAUGAUAAAGAGACCCUAGUGUCUCCACACAAGAUCGCGAAGUCCCAAAGACCACCAGGAAGUUGAUUCCGAUGUAAGCACACGAGGGCUGUUUAUUCAAGCUGGAGCAGGGGCUCCCAACCAUCACCAACACAGCGGAUCAGAAUUGAGAGCCCCGAAUUUCAAAUUAGCUGGGUUUUUAUUGUGGUUACAGCAAGAGUGUGCCUGAAGUCAUUUUGCAAAACAACCAACCAAAAGGCCUUUGACGUCGGAGAGGAUGUAUGUGGGGCAGAAGAACUAACUACGAGAAUCCUGUGCUCACAACAUCUGCAGCUACAACUCGGAGACAUCAUACAGGCAUUUACUGGGUGUGAGCAAUCAGCAUGUUACAGGUCUGACUAGUUUGCAGCUCCAGUGGGCUGCCUGAGGGUUCGGAAGACAGGUUUCACAAAGAAAAAUCACUGUCACCUCAGCUUCAGACAACCACUAAAUUCUGCCUACGAAUCUUGUAGGAGGCGCUUCAUAUCCAUGGAGCAAAUGUGAGCAUAAAGAAAUGGUGUUGGGACAAACAGCCAUCUGUAAGUAAAGUUGGAAGUAUACCUCAUACUGUACCAAAACGAAUUUCUGAUAGAGAAAACAUAAAUGUUAAAAACUUUGAUCAGAAAAUAUAUAUAGCCCAGGGGUGAUGGUGCAUGCCCAUAAUCCCAAGCACUCUGGGAAACUGAGGCAUGAGAUCCCAAGUUUGAGCCCAGCCUGCACAAUUUGGUGAUUGUCACUCAUUCUACCACUAAGCUACACCCACCAUCCUCUGUGUGUGUGUGUGUGUGCGUGCCGCAGCGUGCCGCACGCGAGCGAGCGUGUGUGUGUGUGUGUGUGUGUGUGUGUGUGUGGUCUUGUUGUUGUUUUUAUUUUCUAGUACUGGUGUUGCAUCCAGGUUGAGCAGCCCACCAGGAUCAGAAACUCAGCAGCAAUAACAAAUUAAAGGGAUGGAGUUUAAGAAGGGAAGCCGAUUUAUUUGUAAGGAGGAAAAAAUAGAAGACACAAAGCUGCCAGGAUAGAGAGCAGGGGCUGCAGAUGAUAUGUGUGUGUCGUCGUGUGUGUCGGGGGGGUCCGCCCCUGCCCCAGCCCUGGUCCCAGGCUCCUUUUGUUAGGUCUGGGGACCCUUCCUUUCGGGUGGGUGGUAACCUGAUCAGUCUCUGGGCGGUCUUUGGGUGGACUCCAGGUCCCCAGAUCCUAACCUGGGUACUUUUGCCUGUGUGCACAAUCCUUUCGGUGGGCUUUCUUUCACUUCUUGCCCUGUUGUGAUCUGCAAGUUGUUGGGAAGGGAUCCUUUUAAGGUUAGUGACUAAGUAAAGGCGUGUGUGUAUAUCUAGUGCAGUAAUAUUGUGCCUCUACAGUGUUUUUAAAUACUAAAUAAAUUUUCUUGUAAAUUAGGUAGCCAUCCCUUGUCUCCCUGACAUUUUAUUGGGGGGAGUGGUGUCCUGGUUUUCAUGCUUCCGG